GACGGAGGAUCAAGUGUUAUCCGGAAUCACUGGGCGUAAAGGGUGCGUAGGCGGGUCUUUAAGUCAGGGGUGAAAUCCUGGAGCUCAACUCCAGAACUGCCUUUGAUACUGAGGAUCUUGAGUUCGGGAGAGGUGAGUGGAACUGCGAGUGUAGAGGUGAAAUUCGAUAGAUAUUCGCAAGAACACCAGUGGCGAAGGCGGCUCACUGGCCCGAUACUGACGCUGAGGCACGAAAGCGUGAGGAGCAAACAGG
rnacentral:rRNA from 1 species